GUGCUUAUGGAAUGUAGUGUAUAGGGAUACCAGUUUCUGUAGGUGAUGCAGUGUGUUUGUGUGUAGUGGAUGCAGUGUGUUUUUGUGUAAGGGAUAGAAAGCAGUGUGUGUUCGAGUGUAAGGGAUGUAUUGUGUGUUUCUGGUUGUGUGUAAGGGAUGCAUUGUGUGAUUCUGUGUUUGUAUGUGUAAGGGAUGCAAGGUGUGUGUGUGCGUCUGUAAGG